UGAGCUCUUAGGAUAGUGAAUUAAAAUCAUUGGUUAGCUCCUGCAAGAGUAUAACAUUUUCUACUCUCAGACUGAAAUGUCAUGGAAAUCUGAGAUGACUUUUCUCUCUUUUUCCUAGUAUCUACCAUGGUGCCUGGUAGAUUAUGUGUGAGCAAAGAUUAGUGAAUUUCUGAAUUCCAAAAUCUUGUAGCUGAGUCUCCAGGAGGUUAUGAAGGCUGACAUUUCAGUAUUAUACUUAUGUGACUUUAAAGUCACAUCAUAGUGUAUCCUCCAGAGUGUUCUUCCGGUGUGGAAUGUUAUUGUUUGUGGCCAGAGGAGUUCUGAGUAUCAAUGAUGAAGGUAUGUACAUGAGUAUCUAUCUGGAAUAUGUGAGUGUGUUAAAGACAGAAAGGGAAACAGAAUAUAAACUCCCUGUGGGAGCCAAAGCUGUCUGAGGCAAUUAUCUAAAACUUAGUGGUUGCUAAAGAUGGCUAAGGGUUUUAGAGAAAUGUUCACCAACACUUUACCAGUUCAGACAGAUCUCACAGAGUGUUGGAAAAAGUCAAAAGCUGGUGUCUUAACCAACUUUCUUGUUCCCCUUUCCACAUCUCCAGUGCAUGGGAUCAUGAGGACUUUCUAAGAAGAUCUACACACUGAACUAGGAGUGUAUCUCAGGUGGUGUAGUCCUCACUCAGCGUGCAUUGAAGUGUUCGAUCUCCUCUGGAACCAUAUACACCAAGUGUGGUGUCAGAAGCCUGUAAGCCCAGCAUCCUGAGGAGGAAUAUGAAACAGCAAUUAACAUUUUCUUACCAAAUUAUUUGGCUUCCAGGAACCAUCUGAUGUCUAUGAUCUGAGCUGCCACAUGAAACCAUGAAAUCCACAAUCCACGCAACUUCCGGAAACCACGUGGAAGUGCGUGAUCUGUGCUGCCGCUGGCAGCUAUGGGCGAGGAAGCUUUGUUUGUAGUGGUAUAGAUGACCUCCGACUC
rnacentral:sRNA from 1 species